rnacentral:misc_RNA from 1 species
AACUUUUAGCAAUGGAUCUCUUGGCUCUCGCAUCGAUGAAGACCGCAGCGAAAUGCGAUAAGUAAUGUGAAUUGCAGAAUUCAGUGAAUCAUCGAAUCUUUGAACGCAUCUUGCGCUCCUUGGUAUUCCGAGGAGCAUGCCUGUUUGAGUGUCAUUAAAUUCUCAACUCUUUUAUACUGUUUUGUAUAGGAGAGCUUGGAUUGUGGGGGUUUGCUGGCUGCUUGUUUGCGGUCAGCUCCUCUGAAAUGCAUUAGCGGAACCGUUUGCGAUCUGCCACAAGUGUGAUAAAGUAUCUACACUGGCGAGGGGAUUGCUCUGUGUUGUUCAGCUUCCAAUUGUCUCUACUUUGUGGGACUAACUUUUUGAAUACUUGACCUCAAAUCAGGUAGGACUACCCGCUGAACUUAAGCAUAUCAAUAAGCGGAGGAU